GUUUGCACUCAUCGGGGAAGGGUGAGAACCUUCGACUAAGGUUCGAUUCGAGCGAAAGCGAGAGAACGUUGCCACAGGCAACGACCCGAAGGGUGAGGAGCGAAGCGACGAAUAAUCCUUCCCCCACCACCA
rnacentral:sRNA from 1 species